rnacentral:rRNA from 2 species
UGGGGGACAACGUUUCGAAAGGAACGCUAAUACCGCAUACGUCCUACGGGAGAAAGCAGGGGACCUUCGGGCCUUGCGCUAUCAGAUGAGCCUAGGUCGGAUUAGCUAGUUGGUGAGGUAAUGGCUCACCAAGGCGACGAUCCGUAACUGGUCUGAGAGGAUGAUCAGUCACACUGGAACUGAGACACGGUCCAGACUCCUACGGGAGGCAGCAGUGGGGAAUAUUGGACAAUGGGCGAAAGCCUGAUCCAGCCAUGCCGCGUGUGUGAAGAAGGUCUUCGGAUUGUAAAGCACUUUAAGUUGGGAGGAAGGGCAUUAACCUAAUACGUUAGUGUUUUGACGUUACCGACAGAAUAAGCACCGGCUAACUCUGUGCCAGCAGCCGCGGUAAUACAGAGGGUGCAAGCGUUAAUCGGAAUUACUGGGCGUAAAGCGCGCGUAGGUGGUUNGUUAAGUUGGAUGUGAAAGCCCCGGGCUCAACCUGGGAACUGCAUUCAAAACUGACAAGCUAGAGUAUGGUAGAGGGUGGUGGAAUUUCCUGUGUAGCGGUGAAAUGCGUAGAUAUAGGAAGGAACACCAGUGGCGAAGGCGACCACCUGGACUGAUACUGACACUGAGUGCGAAAGCGUGGGGAGCAAACAGGAUUAGAUACCCUGGUAGUCCACGCCGUAAACGAUGUCAACUAGCCGUUGGGAGCCUUGAGCUCUUAGUGGCGCAGCUAACGCAUUAAGU